CCCGCCUGCUGUGUUGGUUCAUUGUGGUCUGUGUGUUAUGGUCCCCUGUGACGUCUUCUCCUGCUCCUUGCGAUACCCUUGUGUUUUCUUUUGUGGACUUUUAUUUUAAGACGGCUGAAGAGAGACAGGAGUGGGAGGAAGACAUGCAGCAAUUCGUCGACUAGAAGUUGAACCAGCUAGGCCAACAGCGCCCCUUUGUAGUUGUUUUUAAGGCCGCUGAGGAGCAGGUGCAGCUAGCAGGGGUUACGGUGUCAAUCUUGUCAUCCAUGUAAGAAUCUCAACUCUGCCAUCUUUAAAAUGUAUCAUCAAUCCAGCAUCAGACAAAUAUACAAACCUCAUGAAACUCCAGCGGAGUUGGCUCAGCCCACACUCUUAAAGCGUAAAAAACCAGAGAGCGAAUUGUUUCCCGGGACAGCUGAGAGGAAGACGGGUACGAAUGCAACCUAAGGACAGAGACAGAGAGAGAACACAGACGACUUAAAGAAAAUGUGUGUUCUUUUGAAGACAGAGAAGUGACUUCACAUAAGUAUUGCACAGCUUUUGAAGCAUCACAAGACAUGUGGAAACUGUUAAAUGCACCUAAAUGUCUACUGCAAAGCAAAAGGAUCUCUGUGUGGUAUUGCUUUUAGCACAUAUGAAUAAGAUAUUAAGCAUUUAGUGGGGCCACAUUGUCCCCUUUCCAUGAAAAUGAGCUUCAUUAAAAAACACUUGUACAA